GCCAGUCGGAGACGGUCGGUCGGGCCGCCAGUCGGAGACGGUCGGUCGGGCCGCCAGCCGGUCGGGCCCUCCGAUAAUCGGUCGGUCGGUCGGUGGGUAUCCCCCAACAGUUGCCCCCCUCCACUCCUAAGUCGGGUGGUGAGCUGGCGACUAGGAGUGGAUUUGUCGUACGCGAGGAUCCGACCGUACCGCCGAUGGAUACGGUGUCCGGCGCCCUAUAAAUGUCGAGAGGUUUGCUGGCGCCCGACAUCCAGUCGGCGCCAGGCGUCUCGUCCCAUCAGCAUCAGGUGUCGGUCGGCGCCGGACGUCCCGCCGUGUCGGGUAUCCCGCUGGUGUCAGCGAUAAAACCGGUGCCAGGUGUCAUGUCCCAUCGGGAAGUGGAACCGUCGUGUCCCAUCGGGAAGUGGAACCGUC
rnacentral:lncRNA from 1 species